GGUAUCGGAAAAAAGAGCAGAGGAAUGGGUCCAGCUAAAACUAAAGCUCCAGGAACUCAAGCUUGAGAUCGAAGAGGAUUCCCUGAUCGAAGUCCUGAUUAAGAAACUCGAAAAGGAAUCGACCUGGAGAACAAAAAAGGAAAGGAGGUGGAAUAAAAAAACGAAAAGAAGAAAAGUAAACAUACGGAGGUAUCUCUUGACGGGGAUACCUCUUUUUUUAUUCAGAAGAACCUGAAACUGAAAACGAAACUGAAAAGAAAACAGAAAACAGAAAACAGAAAAACAGAAAACUAAAAGACAAAAAAGAAAGUGAAACUAGAAAAACGAAAAAAAAGAAAAAGAAGAAGAAAACGAAAAAGUAGAAAAAGUAAAAAG
rnacentral:rRNA from 1 species